rnacentral:lncRNA from 1 species
UAUUAUUUUUUAUUAUAUUGAUUUUAUAUAUUAGGUAGGUGCCCAUUCUGUUCCUAUCUUCAGAAGUUAUUUAUACCUAUGCAAUACCUUUGCUCAGGUUAAAGAAUGGAAUACUAGUCUUGCAUCAAAUAUAUUUUACAUAUUCAUUCGAUGUUUAUCACCAGAAGUUAGUUCUACCUUUGCAGUACCUCUGCUCUACAUACCUCCUCGCUGGUUAAAGAAUGGAAUAUAAAUCUCAUAUCAAGUUGGUGUAAAAAUUUAGUUCAAUAAAUUAAGAAUUUGUAAACGUUAUCAAAAUUUUGAGUGGAGCAAUUGUUUUUCUGGUUUAGCAUGAGUAUGAAUCUGAUAUCAAUUGGAUGUACAAAGAUAGUUUACAACUUAAAGAACCUAUCAGUAAACCAACUGAUUAUUAAACAGUUUUUAAUGGGAAUAAAAACAAAUUUUUAAAAGA